rnacentral:lncRNA from 12 species
GGAAAGGCUUCCAGGAAAGCUUCUCCCCUCCCAAAAGGGCACAACCUGCUGCCACCCAGGAUGUGUUGUUCCUUUCUCCACUCCAUCAGAAAGUUGAAGCUCCUCUUAACACAGUUCAUGUCACUGGAGUUUUUCCAGGACAUUACAAGUCCUAGAUACCUGGUACCGUGGAAUUAUGUGCCCACCACGGAGUGCCCAGGAAACCAAGGAAAGCAAAGCAUGGAAGAGAUGGAUGCAGCCACAGGUGAAUUUUGCUAAUUUUGAUGAGCGAGUCACCUUGAGGACACAUUUCACCUAUUAGGCAGCCAGUGGAAAGUCUGGAAUAUUGAAGUCUACUUUUAUACAUGGAGGGUAGCUACAUGAAAGAACUAUGUAUAAAGCCUGAAUAUCUAAACCUUCCACUUAUAAUGGUAGAAGAAUCCAUAUAUGACUGUAGGUCAAAGCACAGGACAUAUUGGGAUGAUUUGUAGAUAAGAGCAUCUGAGUGUACAUAGAGGGCCAUCCCCAAGUUGCAGAGAAUGCCAAGUGACCUGACCAAAAACCUACCAUAGGAAUCAUGGGGUAAGGGAGAGAUCUGGCAGGUGCAGAAAUUAGGACUUGGAGGGGUUUUAGCACUCCAGGGAGUACACCAGGAAAUUGCUUAGGUCACCCUUCAAGAAGCAUUUUCCAGUUAUUCUGUAACCUGCAGGAUUAUAAAUCCUUCCAGGAAGAAUUUUGCCAGGUACUAGAAAUGGAAGGAAUGCCAUGUAAGGCUAGUGGUGACUGGAAGGGGUAUCUUGGGCAUAGGUCUCCUAGGAAAAGGAAUCCAGGAAAGUCCGAUUUUGGCCACUUAGAUCCAAGAGGUACAGGAUUUGACCCAGGAUCAGGGAACGCCGGACCAUAGCCUUGAGGAACUACAGGACUAUACCAGCUAGAUUAUGAAAGAUCUGAAGAAAGUUUUAGGCCUUUGGAAAAAAGUUUUGGCCACUUUAAGUAAGAUGACCCUAUACCUUGAGGUUCUCCAUGUGAAUAUAGUGAAAGUCAGCACCCUGGUUAUUGGUGAGAAGACCUACUGGUAGCACUUGGGCUCCCCACUACUCAACCCUCACCAGCAAGGUAUUGGCUUGGUUCAUUUCCUCUGUUCAUCACUACACUGGCAACCUCCAAUAAGGUCAAAGAUAGAAACUCAGCUUUGGGCCUCUGGGUCCCAGAGUCUAGACCCAUUUAGUUCCUUAGUCUUCCCACACAAAGCAAAAAAAAAACAAAAACAAAAACAAAACAAAAAAAACAAAAAUAAAGCCACCACACACAAACCCA